rnacentral:rRNA from 1 species
UACGAAGGGUGCAAGCGUUAAUCGGAAUUACUGGGCGUAAAGGGUGCGUAGGCGGUUCGUUAAGUCUGUCGUGAAAUCCCCGGGCUCAACCUGGGAAUGGCGAUGGAUACUGGCGAGCUAGAGUGUGUCAGAGGAUGGUGGAAUUCCCGGUGUAGCGGUGAAAUGCGUAGAGAUCGGGAGGAACAUCGGUGGCGAAGGCGGCCAUCUGGGACAACACUGACGCUGAAGCACGAAAGCGUGGGGAGCAAACAGG